rnacentral:rRNA from 1 species
CGCCUGAGUAGUAUGCUCGCAAGAGUGAAACUUAAAGGAAUUGACGGGGACCCGCACAAGCGGUGGAGCAUGUGGUUUAAUUUGAAGAUACACGGAAAACCUUACCCACUCUUGACAUCCUUCGCAAAGCUAUAGAGAUAUAGUGGAGGUUAACGGAGUGACAGAUGGUGCAUGGUUGUCGUCAGCUCGUGUCGUGAGAUGUUUGGUCAAGUCCUGCAACGAGCGCAACCCCUGUCUUUAGUUACUAACAAGUAAUGUUGAGGACUCUAGAGAUACUGCCUGGGUAACUGGGAGGAAGGUGGGGAUGACGUCAAAUCAUCAUGCCUCUUACGAGUGGGGCCACACACGUGCUACAAUGGUCGGUACAAAGAGAAGCAAUAUGGCGACAUGGAGCAAAUCUCAAAAAGCCGAUCUCAGUUCGGAUUGGAGUCUGCAAUUCGACUCCAUGAAGUCGGAAUCGCUAGUAAUCGCAGAUCAGCUAUGCUGCGGUGAAUACGUUCUCGGGUCUUGUACACACCGC